rnacentral:lncRNA from 1 species
UGCAGUUAUUGCUCUGAAUAUACGCGGAUAUUUAAAGUGCAUGGCGGAUUUAAUAAUUGUUAUGUAUAACCUCCAGCAGAAAGAAAUAUAAAGGCUCACUGCAGUUUUGACUUCUGAGUGCUGAACAAGUACUGACCCCAUACUAUGCUCAGCAAGUAGGGCCCUUGUAUUUCUGUGAAUCCUCAUGCAGUACAGUACUGCUGUUGGAAGUGGAGCAAACAGUGUGGUAUCUAUGGUCCACCAUCACUU